CUGCUUUAGAUUUAUUCUAUUUCAUUCCACCGUAAAUGUUGUCUGUUGGGAGUAACAUUGAUACAAACAUUGAUAGAUUGAUGCUAUUCAUCUGUUGUCAAUUGAGGGUGACAGGUUGUACAAUUCUGUUAUAAGCAGCCAUCUUGUUUUACUGCACUGAUCAAAACACACAUUGAAGAUUACCAUUAACAUAUUUUAAACCAUCGUAUUAAACCUCCCAGGAAGUUUUUGCUGAUGUGAAAGCUGCUCGCCGAAGAGCCUUAGAGACCAUUGACUUGAUUUGAUCUUGCGAGUGAAAACAAGAGGGAGAGAAGCCACCUUGAACCAGGAGAGGUAUUCACUUCUUUCUUUUAUUUACUUUUGACUGAGGUGCUAUGCUGGUGAUGUAAUUAUUAAUUAAAAUCAUUAUAAUUGAUAUUUUCUUUCAUCUUCCCUGCACCGAUGCAUGUGCUUUGUCGAAAAUAUAACAAUUUUACUUAAUCUUCUCUCUCUAAUUUUAAGAUUUUAUUCUCAAACUUUAGCAAAGAAAUAGUUUUUAAAUCCUCCAUUUUUAAACACGAUGAUGGUGAAAAUGAUAAUAUAUGUUACUCCUGAUGGUGAUGGUGUUGAUUAUAAUGAUAAUGUUCAUGAUGAGAUAAAAUUAUAAUGAUAUUCGUGAUAUUGAUAAUGCUAAUGAUAAUAAAGUUAAUGAAAGUAAUAAUGCUAAUCACAUUAAGAUUAAUAGACAUAAUAAACUUAAUGAUGAUAACAAAAGUAAUCAUGAUAAUGCUAAUAUUAUGAUGGUACUGAUGAUAAUUAUGAUGAUAAUGGUAUUGAGGAGGGUGAUUGUUAUCAUAUCCAUAUUGGUAUACAUACCCAUGAGCAGUCUUUCUGCCAUAGUGGAGUGAAAUGAAUAAAAUAUGAUUGUGGAAAGGCAGUUUGUGAGAUGAGGAGACUGGCAUAAAAAGAAAGAAACAGAAGAAAAACACAUAUAUCUUGGGAAAUAUAGAGAGAGGGGGUGUAUUCAUAUUUUUUCUUUCCCCCUCUUUGCCAUUUCCCCUCAAUAUAUGUCUGUAUUCCAUAUUUUCUAUUUCUGUUCUUUCUAUUUGCUAGCAUGUUUUUGCCUUGACCUUCGCAUUUACCCUUUUAUUUCUCUUCUCUUUACCCUUUCCUCUCUCUUCGAUCAUUUUCCCCUUUUCUCUCUUUAACCAUCUUGGAAAUAGAUCCUUCUUAAUUUCUGAAGAGCAUGCUUUUGAGCUAUUGUAAUGCAAUCGGUGCAAUUUCUCUCCUGAGGGGAAAAAAAAGACUGCUUGAAUGCGAGAGAAGAGUUAUAUUUUUAUUUCUAAAUGUAUGUAUGGUAGAAAUCAAAUUGAAUUGAAGGUACUCCCACUUUCUGACUUCUUAGCUAUUUGAAUAGACUAUUGCAUUUUUUUGGUAUUUUCUUUGAGCAAGUUAUUUAUGCCGCCGCAGACAUGUAUUGUGCAACUGUGGGGUUAAGAUGCACAAAUGGGUGUAUGAAAGACCAAGGCCAUAUUCCAAUCAAUAGGCAUUGUUGCUCUUUUUUUUUGCUUCGUGUCUUUCCCCAACGUUGAACAAGAUAUUACUUAACUGUUGCAUUUUUAUUAUCAAAUAAAAAGAGGGGGUGGGUAUCACACGGGUAUGAUUAGAAGCGAGAGAGCCGAUCGCUAAUGUCUCACACGCUUGCUUCAUCAGUAUACCAUUCCCGAUCUCUCUCUCAGCCGUUCUCUCUCUCUCUCUCACUAUUCCUCCAUCUCUUAGUUGCCUUACCACCUAAUUUUUGUGUGUGUGUCAGAAGUCAGCCAAUAAGAACGGCUGUGACAUGGCCCCCAGCCAUUGGUAGCACAAGCAGCCAAUGAAAGCCUGCCAUCUGUGGGGCUGCUCUUAGGCACUGCUCAUUAGCAUAGAUAAAGUCGAAGGAGGAUGGCGGAGGGGGGGGGGGCGAUGUGAGGCUGAGAUGAAUAGUGAUUGCAUUGCGUGCAAGGCAGAGUCUGGUACAUGUCACUGCUGGGUUAUAGUGUUAUGGUUUCAUUUCACCAGUGAAUGUGAGGAGUACAAUUAUCUGCGAUUUACCUGCCUACCUACCCUUUUUUCCCUCUCCUCUAUUCUUUCCUUUCUAAUUAUUCUAGAUAGGUUUUAUCCUCCCUAUAUUAGAAAUUAUAUAUAGACCAUAUUCUUGAAUGUAUUCUUCUGUUUAUAAUACCACUAUGGAUUUCUUCAUAAAUAGAUGAAUAGACCUUUCAAAAUAAUGAUCUUUUUUAUUCAACUACAUUUCAUUUGGUCUUUGCAAGAGAAGUGAAAUAGGGUAAUUCAGCGUUUAUAAUUCAUUUUCUCAUUUAUGGCAGUAAGACUUAAAUAUUAAUUAUAUAAUUAAAUAGGAAAACCACAUUGUAUUUGCAGGAUAAAUUGUCAUUUCUUCUCAUUAUCUUGUCACUUUCAGAUGUCCUUUCUCCAUCAAGAACUUAAAAAAAUUGAUGUGAAGUAAAAUAAAAGAAAUAAUAUCUAUAGAUAAUCGAAGUGCCAUUCUUAUUUACUCUUUAAAUCAUCAUACUGUUUUAGUAUUUUGUAUGGGCCUCCUGUAAAUUUGUCUACCUGAUAUGAACAAAAAGACUAGUGCUGAAAUCAUAAGGUCAGCAUUUUAAACAUCACUUCAUACGUACAUCUAUCAUUAAUUUUAUUUUUUCAAAUUUUGAAUGUUAGAACUAAUUGAGAGUGUAGGUUGGGUACAUUUUCUGAUUUAAUUCAAUUUCAAUUUCAUUUAUUUCCAUUAAAAAUUC